rnacentral:rRNA from 1 species
AUGAACGCUAGCGGCAGGGCUUAAUACAUGCAAGUCGAGGUGCAAGCGCAGGUAGCAAUACUGGGCGGCGACCCGGCAAAACGGGUGCGGAACACGUACGCAACUUACCCCUAACUAGAGAAUAGCCCAUAGAGAUGUGGAUUAACACCUUUAUAGGUACGACUGAUUGGCAUCAAUUGGUUGUUAAAACUCCGGUGGUUAGGGAUGGGGCGUGCCCGUCUGAUUAGGUAGUUGGUAGGGUAAUGGCCUACCAAGCCAACGAUCAGUAGCUGAUGUGAGAGCAAUGAUCAGCCACCACGGGCACUGAGACACGGGCACCGACUCCUACGGGAGGCAGCAGUAAGGAAUAUUGGUCAAUGGACGCAAGUCUGAACCAGCCAUGCCGCGUGAAGGAUGAAGGUCCUCUGGAUUGUAAACUUCUUUUAUCUGGGACGAAACACUGUUUUUCUAAACAGCUUGACGGUACCAGAGGAAUAAGCACCGGCUAACUCCGUGCCAACAGCCGCGGUAAUACGGAGGGUGCAAGCGUUAUCCGGAUUCACUGGGUUUAAAGGGUGCGUAGGCGGGUAUGUAAGUCGUGGUGAAAUCCUGCAGCUUAACUGCAGAACUGCCGUGGAUACUAUAUAUCUUGAAUGUUGUUGAGGUGAGUGGAAUAUGUCAUGUAGCGGUGAAAUGCUUAGAGAUGACAUAGAACACCGAUUGCGAAGGCAGCUCGCUAAAACAAAUAUUGACGCUGAGGCACGAAAGCGUGGGUAGCAAACAGAAUUAGAUACCCUGGUAGUCCACGCCCUAAACGAUGGAUACUCACGACAUCAGCGAUAUUACUGUUGGUGUCUGAGCGAAAGCAUUAAGUAUCCCACCUGGGAAGUACGAUCGCAAGAUUGAAACUCAGAAGGAAUUGGCGGGGGUCCGCACAAGCGGUGGAGCAUUGUGGUUUAAUUCGAUGAUACGCGAGGAACCGUUACCUGGGCUAGAAUGCCACUUGACCGGUCCUGAAGGAUUUUUGUAGCAAUACACAGGUGGUAAGGUGCUGCAUGGCUGUCGUCAGCUCGUGCCGUGUGACGGUGUGGGUUAAGUCCCGGCAACGAGCGGCAACCCCUAUCAUUUAGUUGCCCAUCAGGUUAAGCUGGGAACUCUAUAUGAAACUGCCGUCGUAAGAACGUGUAGGGAAGGAGGGGAUGGAUGUCAAGCUCAUCAUGGCCUUUAUGCCCAGGGCUACACACGUGCUACAAUGGGUCGGUACAAAGGGCUGCAACACAGUGAUGUGAAGCUAAUCCCAAAAAAACGGCUCUCAGUUCGGAUCGCAGUCUGCAACUCGGACUGCGUGAAGCUGGAAUCGCUAGUAAUCGUAUAUCAGCAAUGAUACGGUGAAUACGUUCCCGGACCUUGCACACACCGCCCGUCAAGCCAUGGAGCUGGGUGUACCUAAAGUCGGUAACCGCAAGGAGCCGCCUAGGGUAAAAUCAGUGACUGGGGCU